GAUGAACGCUAGCUACAGGCUUAACACAUGCAAGUCGCAGGACUGGCGCACGGGUGAGUAACGCGUCUCCAACCUUCCCAUAACAACGGGCUAACCCGUUGCAAGACGGCCUAAUACCGUAUGGAUAUGGAUGGGGAUGAGUAUGAUUAGCUUGUUGGCGGGGUAACGGACCACCAAGGGGACUCUCAGUAGGGGGUCUUAGAGUAAUGUCCCCCACAUGUGAACGGAGGCACGUUCCAAACUCCUACGGGAGGCAGCAGUGAGGAAUAUUGGUGAAUGAGCGAGAGUCUGAACCAGCCAAUUAGCGUGCAGGAUGACGGCCUAUGGGUUGUAAACUGCUUUUAUGUGGUGAUAGGUACCACAUGAAUAAGGACCGGCUAAUUCCGUGCCAGCCGCCGCGGUAAUAC
rnacentral:rRNA from 1 species